CCGAUGCCUCAGUUAGUUUCACGUACUGGAGAAAACCCUAAUUAUCAGUAGGAGAAUAGCUUGAAUGCAAUUUAUUGCUUACGUUUUACUUCUAGGUCAACCCUGUUUAUAUAGGCAUACGAUGCUUGCUGCCCAAGCAUCCUUGUUGCCCUAGGUUUCCUAUCACGUAUAGGAAACUUAGGAUCCUUUGGAUUCUCGUUCCCUUAUCUAUUUAUUUCCUUAGUCCUUUUAGGACUCCUUUCCAUGGUUGGCCGAACAUCCUAUUCCCGUUGGGUCUCUUCCCUGGAUCCUAUUUUCAUGGGAUCUUAUUCCUUACAGAAUACUACUGUUUUGCAUCCUUCUAGAUUAUUCCUUUUGUUUUAACACUCAAAGCUGCUUUCUUAGGAAAUCUUGCUCUGUUUGGCCUUCUCAUUGCCGAACAGGCUUAUUGGACCAAUGACUUCCCAUGUCAUCGGUUCCUAUUGACUGCUUGGACCAAUGACUUCUCAUGUCAUUGGUUCUCAUUGCCGACCACCGUCUUCCACGGCGACUUAUCCUAACUUAUUCCGUCGUCCCACGUACCACCUAUUUGGGCUCUAUCUGAGCUUGUUCGGGAAUACCUCCCUACAGUCCCAUCAUAACUAACGUUUUGCAUUCAUUUUCCAUACUGUAAACAGCACCAGGAAAAUUCUUUGAACUAUUUCAAAAUUUGUAGAUCUGUUUUCUGAUUGGUUUCCUUUACAUUGCUAGUAUUUUCAGUUCUUAUGGGUGUGAUUCUUCCACAUAUGUACCUUGUUGCCAUAGCUUAAUUUCUUUUCAGAGUUCUUGAUAAAAUUUAUUUGCUGACAACCGAGCAGACACGUUGGUUCCACAAACUUUAAUUGACUCAAACACUCAGUAGCAGAAGCCAUACGAUACUUACACCGGUAUGUAACUAUGUAUUAGUGAGCUUCAUUUUAACCUUAACGUAGGGCUAUGUGUCCAAUAUGAUUCAUUAGUCAUCACAUUUCAGUUGCUUUUCUUUAGCUAUUUGUAAGUUAAAAAAUUAUAUCGUUUUCAGAUUAGAUAGCUUUUGUGUGGGGUUAUGCCUAUCAUGACACCAAUGAACAUAGGGAUAUUGCUUGGCUCUUUUUAUCUAUUCGUACAUUUAUUUUGAACUUAUCUCAAAUUUCACUUGGUUUAGCUGAACUUCCCAGAGUCUAGGCCCAAUUAGAAUGAUGGUUAACCUGUGGUUAAAAAGUGUAUUUUUCCAAUUUAAUGUGAAUAGCAAGUGCAUUCCAGUUCUGACUAAAAUUUCCCUCCAGAAUCAUCUUUCUUGAGGAAGUUAUGUACUUUUUAAUUGGCAACUAAGGAAAAAAAGACUAUCCUUUCGUAAUAUAGAAAAGAGAGUGUGCUAGAGUAUUUCAUGAAAUUGGGCACACUCGAAGGAUCCACAUAUGUGAGCAUUUCAAAGUAGAAGGUUGAAACAAAUUGGGCACACUCGAAGGAUCCACAUAUGUGAGCAUUUCAAAGUAGAAGGUUAAAACAAAUUGGGCACACUCGAAGGAUCCACAUAUAUGAGCAUUUCAAAGUAGAAGGUUGAAACAAGGACUUGAGGAAAUUUGGCUUUGGUUAAAUGGGGGUUCCACACCAAGUUGCUGCGAAGAAGAUCUUCAUUUGAUAUUUCUUAUCUACGAUCAAAUACUAGUAGCUGUUUGUCGUCCUUUGUUUUUUCAUUGUUUCCUUUCUGAUGAACCCCGUUGCUUUGUUAACAGACAAUAGAGAGUAGCCCUUGUGGUGAUAAUUGUGAAGGUGGGGCAGUAAACUUGUCGCAGCUGAACCUUAUCGAUCUGGCAGGUUCUGAAAGCUCGACCCGAAGGCCGAAACUACUGGUGUGGGUCAAAAAGAAGGAUCCUAUAUCAAUAAAAGCCUACUAACUCUUGGAACCGUGAGGAUUCAAUUUUUAUUAUUUCAUUAGCAUAGUAGUUUGGUCUACGACUGUCUUAUUAAUGUUGUCAAAUUAUAGUUCAUUCCAUGUAACUAAUCUUUCUUACUGCAUGCGUAAUGCAUGACUAUCAUCGUGGGAUAUAUCUAUUAAAGGGAAAUAAGUAUUACGUAUUGAAAGA